rnacentral:rRNA from 1 species
UAACCAGAAAGCCACGGCUAACUAACGUGCCAGCAGCCGCGGUAAUACGUAGGUGGCAAGCGUUGUCCGGAAUUAUUGGGCGUAAAGGGCUCGCAGGCGGUUUCUUAAGUCUGAUGUGAAAGCCCCCGGCUCAACCGGGGAGGGUCAUUGGAAACUGGGGAACUUGAGUGCAGAAGAGGAGAGUGGAAUUCCACGUGUAGCGGUGAAAUGCGUAGAGAUGUGGAGGAACACCAGUGGCGAAGGCGACUCUCUGGUCUGUAACUGACGCUGAGGAGCGAAAGCGUGGGGAGCGAACAGGAUUAGAUACCCUGGUAGUCCACGCCGUAAACGAUGAGUGCUAAGUGUUAGGGGGUUUCCGCCCCUUAGUGCUGCAGCUAACGCAUUAAGCACUCCGCCUGGGGAGUACGGUCGCAAGACUGAAACUCAAAGGAAUUGACGG